rnacentral:rRNA from 1 species
CGCCUGUUUAUCAAAAACAUAGCCUUUAGCCAAACAAAUAUUGAAGGUAAUGCCUGCCCAGUGAAGUCACUUUCAACGGCCGCGGUACCCUAACCGUGCAAAGGUAGCGUAAUCACUUGUCCACUAAUUAUGGACCUGUAUGAAUGGCCACAUGAGAAUCUAACUGUCUCUUGUAACUAAUUUAUAAAACUGAUCUUCCAGUCCAAAAGCUAGAAUACCCAUAUAAGACGAGAAGACCCUGUGAAGCUUAAAAAACCCCAUUAAACCUGUUAAUGGGUAUUUUUAGUUGGGGCAACUUUGGAAAACAACUUAACUUCCAAA